rnacentral:siRNA from 1 species
AGAAGGUUAUGUUCAGGAGAUGGU